rnacentral:rRNA from 1 species
AUUGAACGCUGGCGGCAGGCCUAACACAUGCAAGUCGAGCGAGCGGCGGACGGGUGAGUAAUGUCUGGGGAACUGCCUGAUGGAGGGGGAUAACUACUGGAAACGGUGGCUAAUACCGCAUACUCUCGGAUGUGCCCAGAUGGGAUUAGCUAGUAGGUGGGGUAACGGCUCACCUAGGCGACGAUCCCUAGCUGGUCUGAGAGGAUGACCAGCCACACUGGAACUGAGACACGGUCCAGACUCCUACGGGAGGCAGCAGUGGGGAAUAUUGCACAAUGGGCGCAAGCCUGAUGCAGCCAUGCCGCGUGUGUGAAGAAGGCCUUCGGGUUGUAAAGCACUUUCAGCGGGGAGGCGUUACCCGCAGAAGAAGCACCGGCUAACUCCGUGCCAGCAGCCGCGGUAAUAC